rnacentral:rRNA from 1 species
AUUGAACGCUGGCGGCAUGCCUUACACAUGCAAGUCGAACGGCAGCACGGGUGCUUGCACCUGGUGGCGAGUGGCGAACGGGUGAGUAAUACAUCGGAACAUGUCCUGUAGUGGGGGAUAGCCCGGCGAAAGCCGGAUUAAUACCGCAUACGAUCUACGGAUGAAAGCGGGGGACCUUCGGGCCUCGCGCUAUAGGGUUGGCCGAUGGCUGAUUAGCUAGUUGGGGGGGUAAAGGCCUACCAAGGCGACGAUCAGUAGCUGGUCUGAGAGGACGACCAGCCAGCGUGGGAGUGAGACACGGCCGAGACUCCGACGGGGGGCAGAAGUGGGGAAUUUGGAACAAGGGGCAAAAGCGUGAUACAGCAGUGCCGCGUGUGUGAAGAAGCCCUUCGGGGUGUAAAGCACUUUUGUCCGGAAAGAAAUCCUGGGCCCUAAUACGCUCGGGGGGUGACGGUACCGGAAGAAUAAGCACCGGCUAACCACG